CCUACGGGAGGCAGCAGUGAGGAAUAUUGGUCAAUGGCCGCAGGGCUGAACCAGCCAAGUCGCGUGAGGGAUGACGGUCCUACGGAUUGUAAACUUCUUUUGUCAGGGAGAAAAGGGAGCCACGUGUGCCGUUUUGUGAGUACCUGAAGAAAAAGGAUCGGCUAACUCCGUGCCAGAAGCCGCGGUAAUACGGAGGAUGCGAGCGUUAUCCGGUUUUCUUGGGUUUAAAGGGUGCGUAGGCGGAAUGUUAAGUCAGCGGUAAAAUUUUGGGGAUCAACCCUGUCGUGCCGGUGAGACUGGGGUUCUUGAGUGAGCGAGAGGUAUGCGGAAUGCGUGGUGUAGCGGUGAAAUGCAUAGAUAUCACGCAGAACUCCGAUUGCGAAGGCAGCAUACUGGCGUUCAACUGACGCUGAUGCACGAAAGCGUGGGUAUCGAACAGGAUUAGAUACCCUUGUAGUC
rnacentral:rRNA from 1 species